UUCUGUUGUAUAAAAUGAGGAUAUUACUGCGAAGAUUUGGGAUAAUGCAAUGUCUGAUCCAUAAUAACUACUCAAAAAUUAGUGUUCUUGGGAGCCCUCAGCUGUGAAGCAGAAGGUCAGGAUGAUCUCUGUGGUUGUCAGUGGAAGAGUCUUCUGGGGCUGCUGUCUGGCAGAAGAGAUGUUGGGUGGAAGCAUGGGAUUUAUGGGUAGGAAGAGGACAAGAGGAAAGGCGAAGACUCACAAAUCCCUGCACACACUUCUGAAGAAAGCUGAGGAAACCAAGGCCUAGAGCAGUGAGCUAACAGCCAAAGUCACACAGCAUAAAGCCAGAGAUAAGACUGAGGCAGAACCAGCUGUCUCUCACAUGCACUCUUCACCCUGCCAUGUAGCUUUUCUUCCUUGAAGCCCAGCUGGCCCAAGCACCAUCAUCCUUUGGGCAGAUGGAGAGGCUGAG